ACCAAUGCCCUUCGGGGCUCUUUGUGAUUCAUGAUAACUUAACGAAUCGCAUGGCCUUGCGCCGGCGAUGGUUCAUUCAAAUUUCUGCCCUAUCAACUUUCGAUGGUAGGAUAGUGGCCUACCAUGGUUUCAACGGGUAACGGGGAAUUAGGGUUCGAUUCCGGAGAGGGAGCCUGAGAAACGGCUACCACAUCCAAGGAAGGCAGCAGGCGCGCAAAUUACCCAAUCCCGACACGGGGAGGUAGUGACAAUAAAUACUGAUACAGGGCUCUUUUGGGUCUUGUAAUUGGAAUGAGUACAAUUUAAAUCCCUUAACGAGGAACAAUUGGAGGGCAAGUCUGGUGCCAGCAGCCGCGGUAAUUCCAGCUCCAAUAGCGUAUAUUAAAGUUGUUGCAGUUAAAAAGCUCGUAGUUGAACCUUGGGCCUGGCUGGCCGGUCCGCCUCACCGCGUGCACUGGUUCGGCCGGGCCUUUCCUUCUGGGAAUCCGCAUGCCCUUUACUGGGUGUGCUGGGGAACCAGGACUUUUACUUUGAAAAAAUUAGAGUGCUCAAAGCAGGCCUUUGCUCGAAUACAUUAGCAUGGAAUAAUAGAAUAGGACGUGCGGUCCUAUUUUGUUGGUUUCUAGGAUCGCCGUAAUGAUUAAUAGGGAUAGUCGGGGGCAUCAGUAUUCAAUUGUCAGAGGUGAAAUUCUUGGAUUUAUUGAAGACUAACUACUGCGAAAGCAUUUGCCAAGGAUGUUUUCAUUAAUCAGUGAACGAAAGUUAGGGGAUCGAAGACGAUCAGAUACCGUCGUAGUCUU
rnacentral:rRNA from 1 species